rnacentral:lncRNA from 1 species
CCCGGCGUGGACUGGGGACCCCCUUGGUGGCCCCUUCCGGGAGAUCCGUGGCACCUGCGCCCGCAGCUCUGAGGUCCUCGAUUCAAGAGUGUUUCCAGCCCCACCACCAGGGAGCCCCCGCCGCCGUGGCGUCCCGAAGCGGGAGUCUCCAGGCAGGGAUGCGCCCAGGGGCCCGGGCUUGGGCGGUGGAGAGAGGACCCCGACAAGGAACACAUUGCCCCCACCCCCAUCCUGUCCUCGAGGGCGCUGGCCAGAGACCCGCACCCUUACGCAAGGCGGUCUCAGCCGGCCCUGAUAGUCAGGCAUUUGGACGUCCCCCAACACCCAGGGCAGGAUUCCAGUGUCCCUCUACCCGCUCUCCUCUGAGUCCCCUGCUAUCCUGAGCACCCAGUCCGGGGCCUUCCGGGAGGGGUGCGUGGGCCUCAGUCCCCAGCCUUCUGAGGAGGCAUCUGCUCAAGCGCGUCCCUAAGCCCCAGCGAGACCCGAGCCCAGGGGCGAAAGGUCGCGCAGAGGGCGCCCCUAGGCCUGACACUCCCAUUCCCAGAUCUUCCUCUACUCCCCACCAGGCCCGGUGUCUUAUUUCUUUGUCUUCGGAAUUGCCCUCAUCCCGACCUUUUCGCACGGCCCCAUACUCCCUGCAGCCCUGCGCUGCAGCCCAGUGCGGGGUAGGGGGGAGAGGGGGGAGGAAGGAGCUCCUCCCCAGCGCCCCCUUCUAGGCUAGUUGCCGUGACCUCCCAAGCGAGGAGAGGUGGAGGGGGCUGGAAUUCCGGAGCAAGCUGAGCUGGCCGAAGCCUCAGGGCAAGGAAGGCCUAGGGCCCAGAUGGCAGAUUGCAGCCCUGGUGGCCAAGGUCCAUUUUCUUGCUUCCUAUGCCAAAGUGGAGGGGCCAAUGGGAGUGAGAGCAGGAGAGAGAGAUCACAGGCAGAGCAAGUCACAGAAGCAGCCAGAAGGAUUGGCCUUGAAUAUAAGUUCCUCUCCCAGAUGCAGAAUCCAUCUCUGCCACAAGUGCCUCCUAACACCCAAGCCAUGGAGGCUGGACACAGGAACCUCCUUGAUGCCCAGCAGGAACACAACUGCCUUCCCAUAGCGUCUCAAAUCUCCCUGAGGGCACCAAAUUUGUCUCCCAAAGCCCAGCUGUAUGGAAGUCGGAGAAUCAUUGUCUGGUACCACCCAGGCCCUAAACAACUAUGUAAGAAUGACAUUGCCAUCAAUUAACUCAUGAAAACAUACUGCCCUAACUCAGUAUUGGUCAUUAUCAUGCAAAGCCAGAAAACCUGGGGCUGCCCACAGAAACAUGUAUUUCAGGCGAAGAAGUUCAUGAUGAUGGAACUCCAACCUUGAAAACAUUUGAGCAUGUGACUGGGAAAAUUGGAGCAGAAGAAGCUAAGGAAGUUGGGGUUGAACACUUAUUGUGAAACAUCAAGGACGGUACAGUGGGCAGUCUUUCCAAGUGGAUCACAAAUCAGGGCCAUGGUUUGAAGGGACUGAACUCCAAGUUUCUAGAUAUCGGGAGCUACCUGGAAAAAGUAGCCACAGGCAAGCUGCCCAUCAACCACCAGAUCAUCUACCAGCUGCAGGACGUCUUCAACCUGCUGCCUGAUGUCAGCCUGCAGGAGUUUGUCAAGGCCUUUUACCUGAAGACUAAUGACCAGAUGAUGAUGGUGUACUUGGCCUCGCUGACCCGCUCCGUAGUUGCCCUGCACAACCUCAUUAACAACAAGAUUGCCAACCAGGAUGUAGAGAAGAAAGAAGGGCAGGAAAAAGAAGAGAGCAAAAGGAUAGGAAAGAUGACAAAGAGAAAGAUAAAGAUAAGGAAAAGAGUGAUGUGAAGAAAGAAGAGAGAAGGGAGAAAAAGUAAAACAUGUAGCUUUUUUUAAUUUGUAAAUUAAAAUCUUAUAAACUAAAUCAAUGUGCCACUAGAGGGUUCUUUUCCACUUUUAGUGCUUAUUAAAAGGCUGUCCUGAUGAGAGCUCUCUGCCUCCGAUCAUUCUUGCUGUGGCAUUAACUGAUGUAAAUGACAGAGGGACUGAUCUGCAACUCAGACUGCAGCCUCAGCUGCU